rnacentral:rRNA from 1 species
AGUGGCGACCGGGUGAGUAACACGUGACUAACCUACCUUCGAGUGGGGGAUAACCUCGGGAAACCGGGGCUAAUACCGCAUAACAUCUUUGGAGUGGAAAUUCCGGAGAUCAAAGGAGCAAUUCGCUGGAAGAGGGGGUCGCGGCUGAUUAGCUAGUUGGCGGGGUAACGGCCCACCAAGGCUUAGAUCGGUAGCCGGCCUGAGAGGGCGCACGGCCACACUGGAACUGAAACACGGUCCAGACUCCUACGGGAGGCAGCAGUGGGGAAUUUUGCGCAAUGGGGGAAACCCUGACGCAGCAACGCCGCGAGGAGGAUGAAGUCCCUUGGGACGUAAACUCCUAUCGACCCGGACGAUAAUGACGGUACGGGUGGAAGAAGCCCCGGCUAACUUCGUGCCAGCAGCCGCGGUAAUACGAGGGGGGCAAGCGUUGUUCGGAAUUAUUGGGCGUAAAGGGCGCGUAGGCGGUGCGGUAAGUCACCUGUGAAACCUCUAGGCUCAACCUAGAGCCUGCAGGCGA